AAGUCGUAACAAGGUUUCCGUAGGUGAACCUGCGGAAGGAUCAUUACCUAGAGUUGUAGGCUUUGCCUGCUAUCUCUUACCCAUGUCUUUUAAGUACCUUCGUUUCCUCGGCGGGCUCGCCCGCCGAUUGGACAAUUUAAACCAUUUGCAGUUGCAAUCAGCGUCUGAAAAAACUUAAUAGUUACAACUUUCAACAACGGAUCUCUUGGUUCUG
rnacentral:misc_RNA from 1 species